rnacentral:rRNA from 1 species
GACGAACGCUGGCGGCGUGCUUAACACAUGCAAGUCGAACGGAAAGGCCCUGCUUUUGUGGGGUGCUCGAGUGGCGAACGGGUGAGUAACACGUGAGUAACCUGCCCUUGACUUUGGGAUAACUUCAGGAAACUGGGGCUAAUACCGGAUAGGAGCUCCUGCUGCAUGGUGGGGGUUGGAAAGUUUCGGCGGUUGGGGAUGUACUCGCGGCUUAUCAGCUUGUUGGUGGGGUAGUGGCUUACCAAGGCUUUGACGGGUAGCCGGCCUGAGAGGGUGACCGGCCACAUUGGGACUGAGCUACGGCCCAGACUCCUACGGGAGGCAGCAGUGGGGAAUAUUGCACAAUGGGCGGAAGCCUGAUGCAGCAACGCCGCGUGCGGGAUGACGGCCUUCGGGUUGUAAACCGCUUUCGCCUGUGACGAAGCGUGAGUGACGGUAAUGGGUAAAGAAGCACCGGCUAACUACGUG